CCUGCUUCGUCAUUUUAUGCUUAUUAUUUGAAUUAAAAACGUCAGUGUGGAGCAUCAUCAAAGAAAACACCAGAAUGUAACACUGAUCUUGGGAACUGAACAUCCCAGGGUUACAUUCAAAAUAGCGCUUAGAGAAUGCAUUGAUGACACGAUCAAUCUGUUGAGUUUCCUUAGGAAGGUGAGAUUUAAGUAAAAAUAACCGCAAGCAAAAAUCCAACGGCCGAUUUUCAAACUCCAUUCCCGACAUACAAAGGUGCAGAGCUUUGUUCAAUGUUACAUGAUCCUUUUCUGCUAGAACAGGGAUCAUACGACUAUAAGGAACUGUCUCUCUAAGCUUUGAGAGAUAACUCUCCGCAGUAUCAUCUGCUGUGAGCUCCGGAACAGAAGAAAGAAACUUGGUCGGAUUAGGCUUAAUAUCAGAAAAUAAAGCCGAAUUUUCAAUAGUCUGAGCUACGCAUUCGUCAUCAUCCCGGCGCAAAGUUCGAAAACUAAAAAUACUAGAACGGUUUUCUCUCAAUCUUUCUAAAGUCCUUUGGGUAGGAAUCGUAGAACUACGAGGCCGUGACCGAGAGCUUUGUGGCUGUGGUUGUUCAACAUCAUUAGGAAUAGAAGGCGAACGAUACAACCGGAGGGAACCCACAGAAGAAGAAGGUGAUGGAACGUUAGAAGUCUGAUCGCUUUUAUCAACUGGCUUAAUGUAAUCAGAAGAUAUGGAAAACUGGAUAGGAGGUCUUUUUACUACAGGUAAAGAAGCAAUGCGUUUCCCCAGGUCGGACAUUUUGACACUACUUUUCCGAGUACCAUUCUGUAAAAUCGUAUUAUCAGAUUCCGCUGACAAAUUCUCAUUUUGCUGGUUUAGAGGGCCACCAGCUUUAUCGAGAGAACCAACUUCAGAAGGAGAACUAGUAGUUGAGUUAACAUCGGGAUUCCAGGACUUCCUAGACCACUUCGGAAAUCGAAAAAAUGAUCGAGAAGCACGAAGUUUCGCCGAGUUGAUACUAGAUGGUGAUUUCAAAGAAGGAUUGGAACCGCUUAGGUCUGUCGAAAUAGGAGACGUGACAUCUUUUGGAAAAUUGGAAUCGUUUGAAACGCUUUGACUUGAAUACGAUGCAACAGGAGAAUUUGCUUGCUGCAAAUCCGAAGACCAGUUGUGGUUGAAGUAAAACGAGUGCUUGGCUCUUGCGAUCGGAUAAAAAAUAUUUUUUUUCUUAGAAGAGGGCGAAUUACUCAAGUCGGUCUGUGAAUUACUUGUGAAAGAUCCGCUUGACUUUAGUUUACUGUUAUGCUCAUUUAGUUUUUCUGAACGUUUGGACAGAUAUGUCUGACUAGACUUUUUAAAGAAAGAGGAGAAACUAGAAGCGUUAGGAGAAUUUACAGUGGUAUCCUUUUCGGAUUUAUUUGAAGACUCCUGGCUGGAAGGAAUUCUGAAGGUCAUUUCGCGCCUCGGCGCAUGUAAGUUGAAGAAAAAGAAAGACUUAAAAAAGAUUGAAGUAAAGAGAGACCUCGAAAAUGAAAGGAAGAUUCAAAAAGAAAUGUAAUGUAAACUUAAGUCAGGAUCUAAAUUUAUAACAAUUGGAGACAGUAGAUAGAUUUGUCGACUAUACGAGGAUAAAACUGACUGUAAUAAGGAGAAAGCAACCAACGUAUUACCUUUAAUGAACAGAUAUUUUUUCCCGAAUAAUCAAAAGAAAAAUCAAUUGAGAAACUACCGAAGCGAACGAACAAGGGAAAAACAAUUAGUGAUUAAUAUAAUGCAUGCAGCAUGGAAUGAAAUGAAAUGAAUGAAAAGUAAUGAACUGGAAGGUAUGGAAGAUGAAAAAUGGUUAUGAACAAAGAACGAGAAACUGAAACGAAGAUGUAAAAGUGAAACUUCUGUGAGACGGUUCAAAUGAAUCGAAAUUUUUUAAAAAAAAAAGCACAAAAACCAAGUGUGAUCUGAUUUAGGCAGCGCAGAGCAAACCGAAUAAGCAAAGCAACGAAAGUAAAAUGAACUCUAGUAAUUUGAAACCCUCAAUGGAAAUACGAACACAAAAUUAAUGAGCAAAAGUCAUGUCCUUGGGUUGAUAGCAGGAAAUUUAAUGAAUCGUCAAUUGCUAACCAAUUCAACUAAUUAAUUUCCCUAGAAUUUUAAUAAUGAGUACAAGUUUUGGUGCUCCAGAAAAAAGAAUUGAAAAGUAAAUACUAGUUUUGUUGGUUACAGUAGUGUUAUUUGCUCCGUCCACAACAUGCCCGUGUCUUUAUCGCCCAAUGCAUACAAACCCGCCCACCGCAAGGUAUUCUGCCACACCCUUCCUCGUAUGACCAAAUCCGACAUGGUCUGAUAGAAACGUAGAUAGCAAAUGGCUAGCACGAUGUUCCUGAUAAUCUAAUGGGGCAAAUGGCACCAUAAUGUAGUUUAUUUUUUUAUUUCUAAUGUCAAUGAUUUAGAAAAAUUUAGUUCGCUAUCGCAAGUGCUUAAGAUACACUACUUCAAAAUUAUAAACAUAACAAAUAUUUUUAACAAGCUCAGCUGAACAUGUUUCUAGGUUGCACCCUUUACUCAUUAUAAU
rnacentral:lncRNA from 1 species